UCUACCGCGUCCUAGAGCGGCUGCCCGCACCACCCACGCCUCCGCUCUGGCCAAAAGGCCUCGGGCCUCUGUGGUGCGGGGCGCGCCAUGAGGUCGGUCAGCUACGUGCGGCGGGUGACGCUGGAGUUCGGCGGGAGCCUCUUCCCGCGCGCCGUGUGCCUGGGCGACGCCGACAACGACGCGCUAAAUGAGCUAGUGGUGGGAGACACUAGUGGAAAACUAUUCAUAUACAAGAGUGAUGAAAGCAAGCCUUGGAAUGUGCGCUUAUGUCAAGGAAUGCUUACUUGUGUUGGUGUUGGGGAUGUAUGUAAUAAAGGAAAGAAUGUGGUUGUUGCUGUGAGUGCUGAAGGGUGGUUUCAUCUCUUUGAUCUCACUCCGUCCACCAAGCACCUUGAUGCCUCAGGCCACCAUGAACUCCCAACAGCAGAAGACCAGAAGCUUGGAUUCAAGCAGCACAUUCCUGCCAACACCAAAGUUAUGCUGAUUAGUGACAUUGAUGGAGAUGGAAAGAGUGAAUUGGUGGUGGGAUAUACAGACCGUGUGGUGCGAGCCUUUCGCUGGGAAGACACAUCUGAGAGUUCAGAGAAUAUCACAGGGCAGUUGGUGCUACUCAAAAAGUGGUUGCUGGAGGGACAGGUGGAUAGUCUAUCUGUAAAUCCAGGCUCAGACUGUUCUCCUGAGAUGAUGGUGUCCCAGCCUGGGUGUGGUUAUGCAGUCUUACUGUGUACUUGGAAAGCAGAGCAGCAGUCUCCGACAGAGAGGAUAGACAGUUCAGCAGCUAGCAGGGAAGCCCCAGUUCGGGAUGUCAUUCUCCAUCAGACAUCAGGUAGAAUUCACAACAAGAAUGUUUCGACCCACCUCAUUGGCAGCAUUGGCAGAGGGACUUCCAAGAAGCACGCUGGCUCAGGUCUGUUUGCACUCUGCACCUUGGAUGGGACACUGAAACUGAUGGAGGGAGCUGACAAGCUACUGUGGUCAGUGCAGGUUGACCACCAACUUUUUGCUCUAGAAAAACUGGAUGUUACUGGAAAUGGCCAUGAGGAGGUGAUUGCCUGCGCUUGGGAUGGACAGACGUACAUCAUAGACCACGGCCGCACUGUGGCUAGGUUCCAAGUAGAUGAAAAUGUGAGUGCCUUCUGUGCAGGUCUCUAUGCCUGCAAAGGAGGCUGCAAUAGCCCUUGCCUGGUAUACGUCAGUUUCAACCAAAAGAUCUACAUCUAUUGGGAUGUGCAGUUGGAGAGAAUGGAAUCUACCAGUUUGCUGAAGAUACUAGAGAGUAACUCUGAAUACAAAGAUCUCCUACUCCAGCUGGGUGUGGCUGGAGAUGAUGUUUCUGCAGUCAAAGAUUUGAUUCACAAGACACUCUACUUUCCAGAGGAGCAGCUAAAUAGCCCUUCUCAGUUCAUGCCCACAGCUAGGUCCUCUUCCAGGUGCUAUCCUAUUUCCCAAGAAACCUUAUGAGCUGAUGACGUAUACUCACACAGUGAACAGCUCUGCUUCUCAUUCUGCUACCCCUCAUUUGUGCAAAUUAAGCACUCUUAAGAACCAGGACUCUGAAUGAAGGGGUUGGAGUAGCAGCAUGAAUCUUCAAGUGAAGCUGCUGACUGAAGUCAGCGUAAUAGGAAAUGCCCUUUUCAAUUUGUCUCAAGGUCCUCAUUGCUGUUGUUACUUUCUCAUCAGUCACUUUAUCUGCUGAAAACUUUAAUAAAGGCAACACAAUUCAUUUCUGUAGAAUCACCUUCCCAGCCCUAUGGAAACGCCCCUCUUCCUCUGACGGAUACUCUCCUUCUCUGAGACCCUCCUUCA